UACGAAGGGGGCUAGCGUUGCUCGGAAUGACUGGGCGUAAAGGGCGCGUUAGGCGGUUUGGACAGUCAGAUGUGAAAUUCCUGGGCUCAACCUGGGGGCUGCAUUUGAUACGUUCGGACUAGAGUGGGGAAGAGGGUCGUGGAAUUCCCAGUGUAGAGGUGAAAUUCGUAGAUAUUGGGAAGAACACCGGUGGCGAAGGCGGCGACCUGGUCCUUGACUGACGCUGAGGCGCGAAAGCGUGGGGAGCAAACAGG
rnacentral:rRNA from 1 species